AAAGUAGGCGGACGGGUGAGUAAUAUGUAGGAAAUCUGCCUAGUGGGGACGAACAGUUGAACGACUGCUAAUACGCAUAUGUGCUUGGUUGAAAUACCAAUCAUGAAGAUUUAUUGCCUGAGGAUGAGCCUGCAUCUGAUUAGCUUGUUGGUGGUGUAAUGGACUACCAAGGCGACGAUCAGUAGCUGGUUUGAGAGGAUGAUCAGCCACAAUGGGACUGAGACACGGCCCAUACUCCUACGGGAGGCAGCAGUAGGGAAUUUUGCGCAAUGGGCGAAAGCCUGACGCAGCCAACGCCGCGUGAGCGAUGAAGCCCCUCGGGGUGUAAAGCUCUGUCAGUAGGGAUGAAUUUUGACCGUACCUACAGAGGAAGCAUCGGCUAACUACGUGCCAGCCGCUGC
rnacentral:rRNA from 1 species